rnacentral:rRNA from 1 species
GACGAACGCUGGCGGCGUGCUUAACACAUGCAAGUCGAGCGGUAAGGCCCUUUCGGGGUACGACGAGCGGCGAACGGGUGAGUAACACGUGGGUGACCUGCCUUUAGCUCUGGGAUAAGCCUGGGAAACCGGGUCUAAUACCGGAUAUGACUCCGCGGCGCAUGUUGUGGGGUGGAAAGCCUUGUGCGGCUGGAGAUGGGCCCGCGGCCUAUCAGCUUGUUGGUGGGGUGAUGGCCUACCAAGGCGACGACGGGUAGCCGGCCUGAGAGGGCGACCGGCCACACUGGGACCGAGACACGGCCCAGACUCCUACGGGAGGCAGCAGUGGGGAAGUCUUGCGCAAUGGGCGAAAGCCUGACGCAGCGACGCCGCGUGA